rnacentral:lncRNA from 1 species
UUUACAGCAAGAAUUGCAGUUUGAGCAGAGAAAUUAUGAUAGGCAAUGGAUUCAAGAAUCCAAAGAACUGCCUCAGUUCUUGCUACAGACAAGUAUGGGUUGUUUAUUACAAUAUUAUACAUUUGAUUCUCUUGUUCUUUGGACAUUAAAGAGCUUAACUCUUCCUCUUCCCAUAACAAAGAAAUUGAGUUGGGGUUUACUUCUACUUCCUCUGUCAAACAAUUGUCUCUGUCUAACACGUCCAAACUUUCAUAUUUGCAAUACAAAGAAUCUAGUAAAAAUGGAAGCUUUUGGUGUUGUUGUGGUUGAUUGUGAUGGUGAGCCAUCUUCUUCCGUGAAGAAGACGGAUGGUUGAAUUUUCAUUUACUUCAUUUGUCG